UAAUCUGAUAGAGGUUGCGGUCGACAAGACUAGCACGGUGGAGUUCCAGUCAGGGACAUUGAUGCCGCGCGAAAGGGGACACCGCCGAAGUUGUGCACUUGACGCGUGCAUAGCUGGGACGCUGGUUAAUAGCCGGCGGACUGUCGUCGACUUUCGACGGAGCGCUAUCGCAACU
rnacentral:ncRNA from 2 species